AUGCAAGUCGAACGGAAACGAUGGGAGCUUGCUCCCAGGCGUCGAGUGGCGGACGGGUGAGUAAUGCUUAGGAAUCUGCCCAUGUAGUGGGGGACAACCUGGUGAAAACCAGGCUAAUACCGCAUAAGCCCUUCGGGGGAAAGCAGGGGAUCUUCGGACCUUGCGCUAUUGGAUGAGCCUAAGUCGGAUUAGCUUGUUGGUGGGGUAACGGCCUACCAAGGCGACGAUCCGUAGCUGGUCUGAGAGGAUGAUCAGCCACACUGGGACUGAGACACGGCCCAGACUCCUACGGGAGGCAGCAGUGGGGAAUAUUGGACAAUGGGCGCAAGCCUGAUCCAGCAAUGCCGCGUGUGUGAAGAAGGCCUGCGGGUUGUAAAGCACUUUCAGUAGCGAGGAAAAGCUCAAGGUUAAUAACCUUGAGUCUUGACGUUAACUACAGAAGAAGCACCGGCUAACUCUGUGCCAGCAGCCGCGGUAAUACAGAGGGUGCGAGCGUUAAUCGGAAUUACUGGGCGUAAAGCGCGCGUAGGCGGUUUGUUAAGUCGGAUGUGAAAUCCCCGGGCUCAACCUGGGAACUGCAUUCGAAACUGGCAGGCUAGAGUAUGGUAGAGGGAAGUGGAAUUCCGGGUGUAGCGGUGAAAUGCGUAGAUAUCCGGAGGAACAUCAGUGGCGAAGGCGGCUUCCUGGACCAAUACUGACGCUGAGGUGCGAAAGCGUGGGGGAGCAAACAGGAUUAGAUACCCUGGUAGUCCACGCCGUAAACGAUGUCAACUAGCCC
rnacentral:rRNA from 1 species